CACCCCUGGAAAUGACCAAAAUGUAACCAUCUUCCUCACUAUUCAUAAUUGAAGUAACCCUUUGUAUGCAGUGGUGUUUCUUUCAUGUUAAAAGUAGUAUAAUUGCUUUUUUUUUUUUUUAGGAAAUGUGGAAUCUUACCACCGACUUUGUAUUGAUGUAAGUGAGUUUACAAACAUUCGGGAGGGCCCAGAUGAGCAAAAAGGAAUAUCGGGCCCUGCCUAUCAUAUAUCCAAGAAAAACACAAAAAAAGAAGCAAAAUAAGCCUGGAGAAGGAGCCAGCAGCAGGCAGCGAGGGCAGGGGCCAGAUAUAAUUGCAUUUCAAGAUGUAGCUAAAUAUAACAAAUUAAGCAUCCUUUACGGUUUCAAUUAAGAAACUCUGAUAAAAAAAUGAUGUGAACUCUGUAUUGCAGAUAAAGCUGAACUUUUUGAUGAUGCUAUUGUAAACUUUCUUUCAACAUGCAGAACUUUAUUCUGCCUUGAAGAAAGCAAGCAAUAUCCCUUACCAGACUGGCUUAUGAAAACUCGAUAGCUUGAACAGAACAUGGACAAUAACAUGUUGCUUUUCACUCUAUACAGACAAUGCAUCAAAUGCCUGCAAAUCACUCUUACAGAUAUGCAGGUAAUUCCAUAUCAAUGCUACUGAUAUGUGACCACCAUCAUCUAGAAAGUAGCAAGUAGGAAGGGAUGCAAACUAUGUAACAAGGAGAUUACAUUUCAUCUUAUCAUCUUGAUUUCUGGAAAACAUGACCAAGGAAUCAGUUGUUAUUGAUGGUGAAUGCUUGAGACUUGUAGUUCUCUUGCACACACUGUCAAGAGCAAGUGAAUGCCAGAAAGAUGUUAUGAAUCUACCAUUGAAAGCAAUAGUCAUUGUUGUGUCUAUAUCAACUGAAGUUCAUUCACAGGAACUCAAUGAGAUUAAGAGCAAUGCUAUGAGACUGGUUUCUCGCCUUGAUCAGAUUCUAUCCUUUACAGUUCAAUUCUGAGAAGUUUUGUUAGCAAUGCCAAUGACAUGUAAAUAACAACUUCAGAAAACCGUGACCAAGGAAUCAGUUGUUAUUUCUAGUGAAUGUUUGAGACCUCUGGUUCUCCUUCACACACUGUUACAAGCAAGUGAAUGUAGAAGGACGUUAUGAAUCUACUUUUGGAAGCAAUAAUCAUGGUUGUGUCUGUAUCAAUUGAAGUUCAUUCAUAGGACCUUUUCAAUUUCAGAGAAGUUUUACUAGCAAUGCCAGUAACACGCAAGCAGCAACUUCAGGUACACUUGUUACAAAGUCAGAUAAUAACAGUUUGACAUAAUCCAUUUGAUUCCCCUGCCUGUAAAGCUAAAGGGGAGUUAUUUGAUACUCUGGCUGUUUAGGACACUUUCAUAUACAGGCACGCAGCAUACAUUACUCAAAUUAAACCGACUUAACUGCCAAACUGUCACUAAGUCCAUUUUUUUUUUUU